UGGUGGGUGAUGGUGCCAUCACCAGGACUGGAACAGAAAGGUAAACCAGCCUGGGAGCUUGAGCAUUUGGAAUGGGUAGAACGAGGAGCCAUCGGAUAGGUCAGUGAUGGCAAACCUAUGACACGCGUGUCAGAGGUGACACGCGAACUCAUUUUUUUGGUUGAUUUUUCUUUGUUAAAAGGCGUUUAAAUAUAUAAAUAAAUAUCAAAAAUAUAAGUCUUUGUUUUACUAUGGUUGCAAAUAUCAAAAAAUUUCUAUAUGUGACACAGCACCAGAGUUAAGUUAGGGUUUUUCAAAAUGCUGACACGCCGAGCUCAAAAGGUUCGCCAUCACUGGGAUAGGUAUGUAAGAAAAGGUUUCUUCUCGCCAGUUUGACAGCUCUGGGCCCGUGAGAGAGACCUGGGCGAGUCAGCAGAGAGUUGGUGCUAAAUAAUUCAGUGUUCUUCUCCUGGGCACAUCCAGGCUACCUUUCUCAUCCAUGCUGGCCAUAACAUACAGCCACGGAAGGACUGUCCGUGGGACCUGCAGGCGGGGCCCUAAGGAACUUGACACAGUCUGGGCAUCCCACGCUAAGUGGGAGGACUGAGGGUGUGGGAGCACAGAGCUAGGCUGCAGGAGCCAGGCCCUCUGAGUGGCUGUGUGAAUCAGGCUCCUGCUCCCCAGACUGCCUCCCAACUCAGAAUGAGCUAUGAAAAGAAUAAAAAGUUAACUUGACCUUCAAGGCCCCAGACAUUUUGGGGAGGACGGAUGUUAGCCUGCCCUGAUUAACGCAGCUGGAGUGAGUGAGCUGAGAGUCAUUUCUGUGGGUGGAGGUGAGCCGGGGGGCGAUGUGCUGCUCAGGAAAAGUCUAGUCCAGGAAGAAAGGUGGAGGAUGGAGCCUGAGAAAACCUGGCUGAAGGAGGAGCUGAAGAAGAACCACCUGCAGAGGAGGUGAGGGAGGCAAGUGAGCCCCGGGAGGCAGGGACAUUUAGGAAGAGUGUGGGUGACAUUGUAAUGUGCUAGAGAGAUGUCAGGGCAGAGUGACAACAGGAAAGUGUUCACAGAGGUUGUCAAGUAAAGAAGGUGAUGCGCUCAGGUGGGCUGGAGCAGAAAGGUGCUGUGAGGGGCCUGAAUGAUGAAAGGGGUCAAGGGGAGCUAAUGAGUGGAGUCAGCAGUCUAAGGAACUUGUCUAGAAGAGAGAGAGGAGAGGUAGAGAAACAACUAAACAGAAGGUCAAGGGGAAAAUGUAAAACAGGAUUAUUUGCACAUGCUUAUCAAUCAUAGGUAAUGACUUACACUCUCUGAGGAAGCAAGAAGAAAUUGGACCCACAACAGAGGUGGCAGAAUCGGGCCUCUCAGAGAAAGGACAAGAAAGUGAAGAAAGUGGGGAUCUGCCCAGAAAGCUCAGAUGGCAAAGUUUGGAAGUUUGAGAAAAACACUGGAGAUAGAAUAACAAAGAGGACUGGUGGACGGAAAUGAUUAAAGGCAAGGACUUUUGAUUCUCACAGCAAAUCCAAGCCCUGCAUGUCCUUGCAAUCUCUGCACAAGCCCUGCCCCUCAGUCACCAGGCUCCAGGACUGGGGUCCGGGGCUGUGCAGAAGACAGGAUGGACUCAGAUGCAACUGGAUAUCAUGGAGGCAGUAACAAGAUAGUCCACAUGGGAGAAAAUGCAGGCCUGGAUUUGAGCAGUGGUUUAAGGGAAAGGGGAGGUGGGACUGGGAUUUAAAGACAUAAAUGCUGUAGAAGUGAGAGGACUACAUGACCAACUAGAUAUGAGGGUUAGGACAUUGGUCCUGGAUGGGUGCCUGGGACAGACAGUGUGUCUUUAGGAGGGUCUACCCCAGCAGUACUGACACCUACAAAGGCACACAACAGAGUCCCACAUUACACAUUUUGUGGGGCUGGGGGUGUCCUACACAGCCUCUUGGGUCUUCCCCCUCCCUCCUUUUACAGAGGAGACACUGAGUCCCAGGGGUGUGAAGUCACUUAACCAUGAUCGCAGAGUGAGUGUCCAAGACAGCCCUGGAACCAAAUGAUUGGAAGGGAAAGAGAAGAGUUGGAGAGAGACAGGGAGAAGAAGAGAGAAGGGGCAUGCAUUCAUUCAUCCCUCCACUCACUUCUUCAUUCGGCAAGUAGGUAUUGCCUUUUAGGUUCUGGGACCUGCUUUUAGGGAACUUCUAGCCAGGGAGGGGCCAUAGACGGCCUUUGGGGAAAGUGUGCAGGACACGUGGGACCCCCAGGAGGAAAGAGUCAUUUCUGUGCGGUGCUGGAGUGGGUGGAUGCGAGUGCCAGGAAAAGCGUCCAACUUGACCGAGGAAGCACCUUGACGGAGUGUUAAAAGAUGAGGUGGACCAAGUGGAAAAGGACAGCUCAUCAGAGGGAGUGAGAGCCAGGCCAGAAAGCAAGCUGUCUGAGGUAGCCCUCAGGUUGAAGAGUGAGGGAGUGUGUCCCCUUGGAAACCCUAUUUGACUGGUGGGGGAACGUAGUGGAAAACUUCAGAGAGAGGUGCUGCUGUAGCGUGGGGGAUGGCUUUGCCCCUGGCAGGCCUGGUCAGCCAGCGGGAGGGAAGAAAGUUGUCUCGGAAAACUGGAGGGGGCAGAGCACAAAGCCAGACCCUGGGCCCCAGGAUCAGCUCCACUGCACCCAGACCGCCAGAUACCACACUGGGCACUUGGAUCCUGGAGGCGAGUCAGAUUUAUAAACAACACAAAUAAAAGGUGGCCGCGCUAAAACCCAUGAGCAAGAGUGUUGAGAGAGGGGGUAAUUCCAUCCAGCUGGGAAGGAGGAGCAGAGGGAGGAUCCCGAGGAAGAAGCAGGAUGUCGAUAGAGUUGAUGGGAGUCAUAGAGAAAGAAAAGAUUUACCGGGGAACCAUGAAUUAUCCUGAUGGCAUUUCUGCCUGAGGGAGGAGCGUCCGUGGGUUUCACAGAAGCAGCGCUGGGACCUGUGUUUUCUCUGAGCCCGGCUCCUUGGGUCUGCCUACCUCAUCCUCUCACCUGCCGGGUCAGCAGCUCUCUUACCGGGGCUGUCUUGGCUUCAUUUCCACAGUUUGUGUGGCUCUCUGUAGAUGUAAAUGUCCAUUGAAUGAUUAAAAAUGGCGAUGAGAAAAUAUUUGGAAGGGCCUCAAUCCUCCCACCACUAGGGAAAAUCUGGGAUUUUAAAACAGAAAGUUUGGUUUGCCCACAGAGCUUCCUUCUCCAGGUUCUGCGUCUUUUCUUGUGUCUUCUGAUGUUUUUGUGAGUCCUUCUGAAGUUUGGUGAACCAUUCUCAGAACAAGGUGUGUGUAUGUCUUUGUCAAGUAGUAGAUGCUUUUAUUUUAGAACAAAGUUUUAAAUAUUAUAAUAAAAUAUGCAGGAUCAUAAAGAAAACCUUUAUAUUAAAAUACAGUUUCAGAAUAUUAAAAAAAUAAAUUAGUGGUAUGGUAAUAGAGAAUGCUUAUUUUUAACAUAUUAACUAACAAGAUCUAGUAGUAGGCCUCAUUAAUUGCUGUAAUUUCGAAGUAAUAAUGAGCUUAAUGGCAUUUUGAAAUAACUGCAACAUCUGUAAUAGAUAUGAAAUAUCUAUGAUUUCUACUGGUAAUUAGGUCACAGGAACUGCUAACACUACUAUGUUUGUUGUCUGCAUUUAUUACCAAAGGAAAUGCUAAAUGACAAUUAGAGGUUAGUGAAGCAAACAUGCAUUUCUCCUCCACCACCACCCCCAACUGCCAUCCAAGCUUAUGCAGCCAAGGAAUUCUCUCCCUGGCCACCACUGCUCAGCGUCUUCAUCUGCUGUUACUAUAAAGGCUGUGGUCGCUGGCGUGGGGCACCCCUAGGAAUGGGCAUCUGCCAUAAACUGCCUCAGGGAGCUCCAGCAGGGAAGUGCUGGUGUUUGGGAAUAAUUUUGAUCCUGUGGAUGUAGGAGGAAAUGGUUUGUCACCAGGAGAACCCCAGACUCAAAAUCUUUAACAGUUUGAAUAGGCUGUUGGAAAAAAAGUGUGUAGGACAUGAAGGAGUGGGCUCCUGGUUUUAAGUAUGCCUCAACUUUGAAUUUUCUCCUUUUCACCUUAGUGACCAAGAAUUCAGGGAGCGGCAUAAGUACCUUUAAGUUCAUAGAAGUUAGCUGAAGGUGUUUGUUUGUUUAUUAGUUUGUUUGUUUUUUAGGCUGUGUAUCAAAUUGGAAAUGAUGAAAAAGUCGAUGAGAGUGGGUAGAAACAGCCUCGUUCUGCGUGCGGGUCAACAUUUCUGCAGGGCAGUUUGGCUCUAUGGACUCAAAUCCCUAAGUGUGCGCAUACCCUUUGGUCCGGCCAUCCCAUUGCUAAGUAAUUUUUUUCUUAAGAAAAUAACUAUAUGCUUCUUAUAAAGAUACAUGUACAAAAUGUUUAUUGGUGUUUUAAACAAUAGUAAAACAAAAAUGAAUCAAGCAAACAAAAACCAGAAAAAAGAUCGCUUACAAUAAAUUGCAAGAGGGCAAAACCAAACAUAGCCAGAUCCAAAAUAGUAUCCCUGUUGGAUGCAAUUGGGAAAGCUAAGGCACGCACUGGUGGAAAACGCUAGAAGCACUUAUGUGGAUGCUAGCAGUGGUCCCCUUGGCAAGGCGGGGCUACCCACAGCCUUGUUUUCUCCUCCUGCUCUUCUAGGUUUUCUGAAGUUCCUGCAGGAGCUUAGAUACAUUAUUUCCGAGGACAUUUGUGUGGACAGAGGACCACUGCAUGAGUUUCAAAAAUCAUUUCUCCACGAAUUUACAGCUCAAUUCAAAUGUGUCUCUUAAUCUCUUAACAGUGUGAAUUCAAUGAGACAAUUUAAGAAAA